rnacentral:rRNA from 1 species
UAAAUACUUUAAAAUUAAAGGAUUUGGCGGUGGUUUAAUCUUAUUAGAGGAAUUUGUUUUUUAAUCGAUACACCACGUAAAAUUUUACUUAUCUUUGUAAAUGUUCAGUUUGUAUACCAUCAUUAUAAAGAAAUUCUUAAAGGAUGUAAUUUCUAAAAUUAUGUUGUUUAAAAAAAUUAGAUCAAGGUGCAGCUAAUAGGUAAGUUAAAAUGAAUUACAAUAAAUUAUUUUAUUAUGAAUUAAUAAGUGAAAGACUAUUAUGAAGGAGGAUUUAAUUGUAAUAUAAGUUUAAUAAGCUUAUAAGAAAUAAGCUCUAAACCAUGUACAUAUCGCCCGUCGCUUUCGUUUAUAAACGGAAUAAGUCGUAACAUAGUAGGUGUACUGGAAAGUGCAUCUAGAAUAAA